rnacentral:rRNA from 1 species
UCGAAUCCUGCCCGGCAGACGACCGCGAACGUGUUAAACAACUGCCGGAAGUCGGCGGGCGUGGGAAACCCCGCUCGUCGGCUUCCGACCCUAACCGAACUCCCGGCGCGGAAUGCGCCAAGGACUACUCAAAUGGAUUGCCGGCCUACCCCGCGGCUUCCGCGGGGCGAGACGGGCGUCUGAUCGUUUAACCAAAACGACUCUCGGCAACGGAUAUCUAGGCUCUCGCAUCGAUGAAGAACGUAGCGAAAUGCGAUACUUGGUGUGAAUUGCAGAAUCCCGUGAACCAUCGAGUUUUUGAACGCAAGUUGCGCCCGAAGCCAUUAGGCUGAGGGCACGUCUGCCUGGGCGUCACGCAUCGCGUCGCCACCCCCCUGUCCCGAGGACGGACGGGGGUGACGGAUGUUGGCCUCCCGUGCCCCCCCGGCGCGGCCGGCCCAAACGCGAGUCCUCGGCGCGGGACGUCACGACGAGUGGUGGUUGAACUCAUCAACUCGAGAGCCGUCGCAACGAUGCCCGACGAGGAACUCUCCCGACCCUAAGGCUACUACGCUAGCCUUCGACCGCGACCCCAGGUCAGGC